UUAAGUUCAGCGGGUAUCCCUACCUGAUCCGAGGUCAAGCGUAAAAAGGUUCGCUUGUGGACGCCACCGUACGCAGGGACGAACGCAAAAUGUGCUGCGCUCCUCCACCGGACGGCGGGCGGCCAAUGCAUUUGAGGCGAGUUCGCGCGCGCGGCGGAACAAAACGCCCAACACCAGCCAGGCUGGAGGGUACAAAUGAC
rnacentral:misc_RNA from 1 species